ensembl:lncRNA
GUACUACUGCCUGUCCUGUGAAUAUGUCAACAUGAUCAGAGGGAGGGCGGGGAGCCACUGGGGAGCGCGCGCACCGAGUCGCCUCUAGGUGGCUUAUCGAGAGAUCGCCGCAGCCCCGGAGCUCGCUCUCUUGCUCGCUCGCUCUGGCUCAGUCCAUGUCUGAAAUGCCUCAGUCAUCCAGCCCGGGAUCGAGGGAGGAGGCUGGGCAGGAGGGAGCACGCGGGAGGGAGGCGGGCGCUAGCGAGCCUGGCCAGGAAGGCGGAGAGCGCGCCGGGCGCCGGGCAGGGGCGCUCGCCUCUCGCGCGCUCGGCUCGCUUCUCGGGCCGCCGCGGCCGUUUCUCUCUCCCGUUCACCCUUUUAACCCGGUUCCAGGCGAGCCGAGCGGACGGCCCCGGCUCCCGUGAGCUGCCAUCCGGCCGCCGGGCGCGACAAAAGCCGGGCGCCGCGGAGAGGCGAACGCCGCCGAGUCUCCAGGCUUGUGCGCUCUCUCCGGCCCCACGUGGAGCCAAGCUCUUCCCGGCCGCCGCUCAAGGGCUCCCGAGCUCGGGUGUUUCUCGUUGCCGGUCUGCCCGGGCAGCAGGGCUCGCGCGCGGGCUCCCGAGCACGCGGUGCUGCCAGAUCUCAGCCCACGCGAGGGGGCUCUCUCCCCACCGCGCCCCACCCGAAACUAUGCGCGGAGACCCAAACACCCCCAGCACAUUUGUACGCGAACACGCGGCAGUCCACUAGGGCUCAGCCGCGGAAGCCAUAUACACGCAAACACUGACCCAGCCUGCGCGGCAGCCGCGGGUCUGCGCUCAGCUCACUCCGGAGGCGGAUUCGGGCUUUUUUCAAAUGGAUUUACCAGCCCUUUUAGAUAGAUCUCGUCUUCCAUUUGGACUCUGGCUCCCGGUUUUCAACCUGAAUGUGUGUGUGAGACCAGAGAGGGUAUCUGAACAAAGUGAGCACAACGAGGGACUAGGUUCUGGGCCUGUCCUCGUCUAGCCGCCGCCCGCCCCUCGGCGGUCAGCAGGGCUGCUUCAGGCACAUUCCCAGGAAGACAGAGGGAAGGAAGAAACAGGAAGGUCAUGGAGGAGCGGCAGAAGACCAGAUCUCCCUGACCAGGGAUUGAACUGUGCCCUCUUCCGUGGACGGGCAGAGCCCUAACUGCUGGACCACCAGGGGGCUGCUGGUGGUGUGUACUUCUACCAAAAGACUCACAAAAUUGCCUGUCUUUCUUCUUGGUUUGUGAGCAUCCGCUGAAGACCAUUUUCGGCAUGGAUUCAUAAUUUCUUUAAGGGUUUGCACAACAGUGAUAUUUCAUUUCUUUCACUUCAUCUUCAUUAUGUGAAAUACUCCCAAAUUUCUCAAGAGUCCACCACAUCACUAAACGCUAAGGUUUGAGCAGACAUCGUCCACUAUCUACAUUUUCACGCUUUUCAAUGAUAAACCUCUUCGACUGAAUUUGAUGUAUGAUAUAUCACUGAACUGCACUCAGCUGGAAAUUAAAAGAGAUAACCUUUGAAAACAAAUGUGCCUAGAAUUUCUUCCUGCAGUCGGUGGUCAGUCCAUUCCUA